rnacentral:rRNA from 1 species
UACGUAGGGCGCAAGCGUUGUCCGGAAUUAUUGGGCGUAAAGAGCUCGUAGGCGGCUUGUCACGUCGAUUGUGAAAGCCCGAGGCUUAACCUCGGGUCUGCAGUCGAUACGGGCUAGCUAGAGUGUGGUAGGGGAGAUCGGAAUUCCCGGUGUAGUGGUGAAAUGCGUAGAUAUCGGGAGGAACACCAGUGGCGAAGGCGGCUUUCUGGCCCGUUCUUGACGCUGAGGCGCGAAAGCUAGGGUAGCAAACGGG